rnacentral:lncRNA from 1 species
GUGUAUCAACUUUACUUAAGAUCUGUCUUUCGCAGACAAUUAUUAAAUUUCCUCUUUUGGGUACUUGGCAAUCUUAUUUCAGGUAUCUCUUAUCGGUUGUUGAGUCCGAAAAUCCUAAGCAAGCUGCUGGACAUGCUGUUAUGUAAUUAUCAUUACUAACAUUUGAACCACUGACGUUCGUUCGGUUCGGUUGGGGCAGUCAGAUGAGAAUUUAACGCUCAGCACCAUGGCUUGUGCCAAAAGCUGGAA